rnacentral:rRNA from 1 species
AUUGAACGCUGGCGGCAUGCCUUACACAUGCAAGUCGAACGGCAGCACGGGAGCAAUCCUGGUGGCGAGUGGCGAACGGGUGAGUAAUAUAUCGGAACGUGCCCAGUCGUGGGGGAUAACGCAGCGAAAGCUGUGCUAAUACCGCAUACGAUCUACGGAUGAAAGCGGGGGAUCGCAAGACCUCGCGCGAUUGGAGCGGCCGAUAUCAGAUUAGCUAGUUGGUGGGGUAAAAGCCCACCAAGGCGACGAUCUGUAGCUGGUCUGAGAGGACGACCAGCCACACUGGAACUGAGACACGGUCCAGACUCCUACGGGAGGCAGCAGUGGGGAAUUUUGGACAAUGGGCGCAAGCCUGAUCCAGCAAUGCCGCGUGCAGGAUGAAGGCCUUCGGGUUGUAAACUGCUUUUGUACGGAGCGAAACGGCUGCCCCUAAUACGGGGAGCUAAUGACGGUACCGUAAGAAUAAGCACCGGCUAACUACGUGCCAGCAGCCGCGGUAAUACGUAGGGUGCGAGCGUUAAUCGGAAUUACUGGGCGUAAAGCGUGCGCAGGCGGUUAUAUAAGACAGAUGUGAAAUCCCCGGGCUCAACCUGGGACCUGCAUUUGUGACUGUAUAGCUAGAGUACGGUAGAGGGGGAUGGAAUUCCGCGUGUAGCAGUGAAAUGCGUAGAUAUGCGGAGGAACACCGAUGGCGAAGGCA